ACAGCAGUCGCCGCGGUAAUACGUAGGUAGCAAGCGUUGUCCGGAAUUAUUGGGCGUAAAGGGCUCGCAGGCGGUUUCUUAAGUCUGAUGUGAAAGCCCCCGGCUCAACCGGGGAGGGUCAUUGGAAACUGGGAAACUUGAGUGCAGAAGAGGAGAGUGGAAUUCCACGUGUAGCGGUGAAAUGCGUAGAGAUGUGGAGGAACACCAGUGGCGAAGGCGACUCUCUGGCCUGUAACUGACGCUGAGGAGCGAAAGCGUGGGGAGCGAACAGGAUUAGAUACCCCGUGUAGUCCCUGUCUCUUAUU
rnacentral:rRNA from 1 species